rnacentral:rRNA from 1 species
AUUGAACGCUGGCGGCAGGCUUAACACAUGCAAGUCGAGCGAGCGGCGGACGGGUGAGUAAUGUCUGGGAAACUGCCUGAUGGAGGGGGAUAACUACUGGAAACGGUAGCUAAUACCGCAUACCAUCAGAUGUGCCCAGAUGGGAUUAGCUAGUAGGUGGGGUAAUGGCUCACCUAGGCGACGAUCCCUAGCGGGUCUGCGAGGGGGACCGGCUAACAGGGAACUGAGGCACGGUCCAGACUCCUACGGGAAGCAGAAGUGGGGAAUAUUGCACAAUGGGCGCAAGCCUGAUGCAGCCAUGCCGCGUGUGUGAAUAAGGCCUUCGGGUUGUAAAGCACUUUCAGCGCGGAGGCGUUACUCGCAGAAGAAGCACCGGCUAACUCCGUGCCAGCAGCCGCGGUAAUAC